UACGGGGGGAGCAAGCGUUGUUCGGAUUUACUGGGCGUAAAGGGCGCGUAGGCGGCCACUGCAAGUCGGUUGUGAAAUCUCCGGGCUUAACCCGGAAAGGUCAAUCGAUACUGCAGGGCUAGAGUGCAGAAGGGGCAACUGGAAUUCUCGGUGUAGCGGUGAAAUGCGUAGAUAUCUGGAGGAACACCGCUGGCGAAGGCGAGCUUCUGGGCUGUCUCUGACGCUGAUGCGCGAAAGCUGGGGGAGCAAACAGG
rnacentral:rRNA from 1 species